GAUGAACGCUGGCGGCGUGCCUAAUACAUGCAAGUCGAGCGAACAGACGAGGAGCUUGCUCCUCUGACGUUAGCGGCGGACGGGUGAGUAACACGUGGAUAACCUACCUAUAAGACUGGGAUAACUUCGGGAAACCGGAGCUAAUACCGGAUAAUAUAUUGAACCGCAUGGUUCAAUAGUGAAAGACGGUUUUGCUGUCACUUAUAGAUGGAUCCGCGCCGCAUUAGCUAGUUGGUAAGGUAACGGCUUACCAAGGCAACGAUGCGUAGCCGACCUGAGAGGGUGGACGGCCCACACGGAACUGGAGCCCCGUCCAGACUCCUACGGGAGGCAGCAGUAGGGAAUCUUCCGCAAUGGGCGAAAGCCUGACGGAGCAACGCCGCGUGAGUGAUGAAGGUCUUCGGAUCGUAAAACUCUGUUAUUAGGGAAGAACAAAUGUGUAAGUAACUAUGCACGUCUUGACGGUACCUAAUCAGAAAGCCACGGCUAACUACGUG
rnacentral:rRNA from 1 species